ensembl:snoRNA small nucleolar RNA SNORA18
GUUGAGGUCUAUCCUGAUGGGUUUUUUUUUUUUUUUUUUUCCUGCAGACCCACAUCAUUGGAGAUGCCUCGUCAAAUAACUAUGUUGUUUGUUUUACUCAUGGAAUUUAUUUGUUUGGUCUGUGGAAAAGAACUAUAAGAUGUAG